rnacentral:tRNA from 1 species
GAUGACUUAGCUCAAUGGUUCAGAGCAUUACGCUGAUACCGUAAAGGUUGAUGGUUCGAGUCCGUCAGUCAUCA